AUGCUGAAGCGGCCGGUGAGCCGCGACGUGCCGCGCAUCAACCUGGAACUGGGCGACGGCGCCACGGGGAACUGGACGCUGUUCAACGACAACUACAUGGUGAAGGUGGACGGGGCGACGUGCCUGGCGAUCCUGCCGAUGGUGCCCGGCGGCAUGCCGGUGGAGGGCGAACCGGCGGUGGUGGUUGGCGGGAAGCAGCUGGAGAACAACCUGCUGGUGUUCGACCUGGAGAAACAGGUGCUCGGGAUCAGCAUGCUGCUCGACUCGCGCUUGUCCAGUUGCAGAAGCUUCAGUUUCUUCGGAAACUAA
rnacentral:rRNA from 1 species